CAUAGAAUAUAAUAAUUACACACGGAGUCCCGUGGGGUGUAGAAGAAAUAAAUCAAUUAGCCGCCAUUAACAUCCUGAGCUUCCUCAAGGGCGAUCUGUUAGGUUGAUGUACAAAAAACCCUAGUGUCUCGGGUAGGAUCUUUUUCUGCAAAAUGGUGGCGAAUGGUGGGGCUCCUCCAAGAGGCAGUGCUGCGGCAACAGCGAACUUACGAAGACGUCGGGCUGGAGGCAGUGGUACUGGGUCUGGGGCAGCCGCAGCAGGUGGCAACACAAUGUUGCAAUUUUACACAGAUGAUGCCCCUGGUCUCAAGAUCAGCCCCACUGUCGUCCUCGUAAUGAGCAUAGGUUUCAUUGCUUUUGUUGCCAUUCUCCAUGUCGUUGGCAAGUUCUAUUUUGUCCCAAGAGAUCUUGGGAGGUCAAACUAGCAGAGAGAGACUGUUCCAAUGUUUUGACCUCUCUUAUUGCUUUGGGGUUCCUAGCCUUCUUUCAGUUGCAGGUUUGACCUUUUUGUACUCGUGUUUUUCUCUUUCAUUUUGAGAUUCCUAAACGAAUUAUCAUGUUUAGCUGAUUUCCUUGGUGAAAAGAUGAGAAGAACUCCAUACUUAUUGAGUCACUGAUUCCUGGAUUACCUCUCCUCUUUGGCGUGCAUCUUUGUUAUGUCAUACGUUUGAAAAAUCAAUUUUGCAUCUUGGUGAUAUUCAUUCACAAUAAAUUUCGUCCUCCAAAUGGAUUGGUGUCACCAAAUUUGUUGUUGUUAAAUUAUUAUGGUAGGAGGUUUUAUGUUGGCAAUUGAGCCACACUAGAUGGCCAGCUCUGAUGAAUGUCUGUCUAUUAAGUUUUUCACAUACUGGUGUGUUGUGAUAUUCUGAUUGAAUUUACAUCAGUAUUGAUGGAUGUCUGUCUAUUAAGUUUUUAA